UGGGGAAUAUUGGACAAUGGGCGAAAGCCUGAUCCAGCCAUGCCGCGUGUGUGAAGAAGGUCUUCGGCUUGUAUAGCACUCUACGUUGGGAGGAAGGGCAUUAACCUAAUACGUUAGUGUCUCGACGUUACCGACAGAAUAAGCACCGGCUAACUCUGUGCCAGCAGCCGCGGUAAUACAGAGGGUGCAAGCGUUAAUCGGACUCACUGGGCGUAAAGCGCGCGUAGGUGGUUUGUUCAGUUGAAUGUGAAAUCCCCGGGCUCAACCGGGGAACUGCGUCGAAAACGGGCAAGCUGGAGUAAGGUAGAGGGUAGUGGAAUUUCCGGUGUAGCGGUGAAAUGCGUAGAUAUAGGAAGGAACACCAGUGGCGAAGGCGACUACCUGGACUGAUACUGACACUGAGGAGCGAAAGCGUGGGGAGCAAAC
rnacentral:rRNA from 1 species